AAAUAAAUUAAUAAGUGCAAAUGGCGGAUGCCUAGGCACCAGAAGCCGAUGAAGGUCGUAGGAGGCUGCGAAAAGCCUCGGGGAGCCGCCAACCAGGCUUCGAUCCGAGGAUUACCGAAUGGGGAAACCCGGCUGGAGUAAUGUCCAGUCAUUUCUCUCUGAAUAAAUAGGAGAGUCAAAGGUAACGAGGGGAAGUGAAACAUCUCAGUACCCUCAGGAAGAGAAAACAACCGUGAUUCCGUUAGUAGUGGCGAGCGAAAGCGGAAGAGGCUAAACCAAUCAUGUGCCAAGCCGGCAGGCGUUGCAUGAUCGGUGUCGUGGGACUAAAUGAAAUUAACUGCCGUUAAUUUAACAAGUCAGAAAAUAGUGAAAUAGAUGAAGGACGUGGGAAAGUCCGGCAUAGAAGGUGAGACCCCUGUAGUCGAAAUUUCAUUAUCUUGUUUUUAGUAUCCCAAGUAAUACCGGACUCGUGUAAUCCGGUAUGAAUCUGGCGGGACCACCCGCUAAGCCUAAAUACUCUCUGGUGACCGAUAGUGAACAAGUACCGUGAGGGAAAGGUGAAAAGAACCCCGCAAGGGGAGUGAAAUAGAAUCUGAAACCGUUUGCAUACAAACCGUUGGAGCUGCCUUGUGCAGUGACAGCGUGCCUUUUGAAGAAUGAGUCUACGAGUUAGUGUGAUGUGGCAAGGUUAACCCGUCGAGGGGAAGCCGUAGCGAAAGCGAGUCUGAAUAGGGCGAAUAAGUCGCAUCAUCUAAACCCGAAGCGAGGUGAUCUCGCCAUGACC
rnacentral:rRNA from 1 species